UACGUAGGGUGCGAGCGUUGUCCGGAAUUACUGGGCGUAAAGAGCUCGUAGGUGGUUUGUCGCGUUGUUCGUGAAAACUCACAGCUCAACUGUGGGCGUGCGGGCGAUACGGGCAGACUAGAGUACUGCAGGGGAGACUGGAAUUCCUGGUGUAGCGGUGGAAUGCGCAGAUAUCAGGAGGAACACCGGUGGCGAAGGCGGGUCUCUGGGCCAUUACUGACGCUGAGGAGCGAAAGCGUGGGGAGCGAACAGG
rnacentral:rRNA from 1 species